CCGCCCCUCCCCUGUUUUUCCUCGUGGCCGCCGCCACCUCCCUGGGCGCUGCCUCCUCCUGGCCUUCUUGCCAGCGCCGCCGCUCCCUGCCCUUCCUGUGCGCCGCCACUCCCGGUGCUCCACCCGCGCGCCUCCGCCCGGCCACCAGCUCCCGCCGCGACGCUGGCCCCAGGCCGUGGCUGCCGCCCCACCGGCCUGGCCACAUGCCGCUGCCGGCCGUCGGGUCGCCGUACUACACCCACGCCGCCGUCCAAGACCAACCUGCCCGGUCGCUGUUCCUCGCCUGCCCCGCCGCUCCUGGUGCCCUCGCGCGCCUUCCGAGCAGGCACGGAGCAGCCUCGCCAUCGAGCCCCUCUCCACCAUGGCCGUCGCCUGCGCCAAGCCACAGCACCGCCGCCGUUCUUCACGUCGCCGGUGCAGCCUCCGCUCGACCAUCGCCGUUGGGCCCCUGCACGCGUGUCGUCCGCGCUGCGCGCGCGUGCCCCUCAGCGCCGCCGCCCGUGCGGCCCUUGCGCGCCACUGGGCGUGCCGCUGGCCGUGCGCAGUAGCCCGCCCAUGGCUACUGCCGGCCACUGGCCGCGCCCGCGUGCCCCUAGCCGCGUGGCCGCUGGCCGCCGUGGCCAUGCGCUGCCCUGGUGGUCGCUGGUGCCCGCCCCUGCGCCCAAGGAUGGAGGAGCCGAGAUGGAGGACCAAGGGAGAAGAAGGGGCGCAGGGAAUAGAGGAACGGAGGAGAAGAACAGAGAAGAGAAGGAGCACGGGAAAGAAGAAGAGGAGGAGGAGAGGAGGAAGAAGGGAACAAGCUCGCCCGCAAGCUGUUCGAUGGAACGUCACACCCGGGAGCACGUCGCCGUCAGAGCACAUCUUCGUCAAGCCAGCGGCUUGUAUGAUGACAUCGACGAUGCGGCUCUUCCUGCACUGCCUCGGAUCGUCUAGGCGCCGACUCACCAUGGCCUCACCCCAUCUUCCUCGAGCCACACGGUCCCUACGAGGAGUUGAUCGACAUUCCGGACGACUGGUGGACCCAGGAGGACUUCCCCGACAUUGAGGAGAUCUAGAAGGAUGUCCCGGACGGACAGAAGACCCAAUAAGAUUACGAGUACCAGGUUCACACCCAUCUAUGAUCUGAAAUCCCAGUAGACAUUGUUUGCUAGAAUUGCUAUCGUUUUACUACUGUUGAUGAGAUAAACUUGCAUGACCUACUUUUAUACCUGAAUUCCUUGAACUCCUACUCAUACCAUGUUGAAUGGUUGAGAUGCUUUGCAUGUGGUUGUGUGGGAAUAUGUGAUAGUCUUGGCGUGAGUGGAGAUCCACCUUAGAGGAGUUGGUGACUAGGAUUUUAGCUGGGGGUGAGCGAUUUAACCUGAUCUUCGGAUCGGGGGCUGGGGGCAUGUGUUGGGCACGCCCUAUGGACCGAGGAUGUGCAUGGGCACGUCCUGCGGAGCACCUGUGGUGGGUGCAUGUUUUCCAUCGGGAAGACGUGGUGGACUGGAGGAGUAGAGGGGUGAGACCUGUGAUGGGUGCCCACCGCGUUCCGCUGUGGCAGAUACACAUAUGUGACGAAGAUGCUUGCCCCAGCAUAUAAGGAACCGGUUGGGGUAACUAUCAUUAGUGGGACUAUGUAAACCUACACACCACUUAUCCUCUAUGCGGAAGGAUCCGGUCCAAAGCUAGCAAGCGUGGUGCGGUGCCAAGCCUGUAGGAGGAUAGGAUAUCAGUCCAAGGGAAGGAGGUGUUGACCUCGCGUUCCUCAAGUCACAUGUUAGGCUUCACAGUCCCGGGGCGACCUCUCGCGGGAGGACGCGCCCAGACCCGGGAAACCAGGAUGGUGCCAUGGCUACUUUUUCUCGUUCUCAGUAGACCGGUGCCUCGGAGUCAGUCGGGUCGCUCCUGGCUGGCCUCGUGGCGAGCGGGUCCAGGUGUACAAGCUCUGCAGAGUUAAAACUAUACGUAUAGCCGCGUACUCGGUCAUGUACGACCCUACUUUUCUGUUACUUCCAUUAGUUAGUUUUCCCAGAGAGAUUUCUACCUCACUCUAGUCUUUUUACCUGCUUGGAUAGUAGUUGAGGUGCGAGGAGUGGGACUUCUCGUACCGACUUGGAGAGAUAGGCUUAGUCUGGAUAUGAGAGUGGACCGGGAGUCCGGGAUGCCGGAGUGGCCCGCGUUAGGAGAAUUGGCGGAUGCUGUGAGCUUGCUGCUGAUGCAUAGGAAACCCCUAGCCUUAUCCUUGGCUACUUUUUUAUACUCGUGCAUUCCACUUAAAGCUGCAUUCGAAUGGUGGCGUGAGCCUAUCCCGCCCUUGGGGAUAGUAUGUUAGAUGCAGGAACCGAUUCGACGAUCAAGCUGGACGAUGAUGAAGGAUGCUAAGGACGAAUCGUGCUACGCUCAAGUUGCCUGUGGAGGAGUGAAGUCUGAAGAUGAGGGAUGCCCAGAAGACUAGCUAUGCUUUCGAGUUCUGUUUGUUUUCCUUUAGCCCAAGGGGCUUGUACUCUGAUAUUCGUACUGCAAAUCCUCUGGAUUAUGUAUAAUUAAACCCAUGCAAUGACUUUAAUCGAGAAGUAUGACUGUGAUAUGUAAUUGAAAUGAGUU